GAUGAAGAACGUAGUGAAAUGCGAUAAUUAAUGUGAAUUGCAGAAUUCAGUGAAUCAUCGAGUCUUUGAACGCACAUUGCGCCCCCUGGUAUUCCGGGGGGCAUGCCUGUCCGAGCGUCAUUGCUGCCCUCAAGCACGGCUUGUGUGUUGGGCUUCCGUCCCUGGCAACGGGGACGGGCCCAAAAGGCAGUGGCGGCACCAUGUCUGGUCCUCGAGCGUAUGGGGCUUUGUCACCCGCUCUGUAGGCCCGGCCGGCGCUUGCCGAUCAACCAAAACUUUUUUCCAGGUUGACCUCGGAUCAGGUAGGGAUACCCGCUGAACUUAAGCAUAUCAAUAAGCGGAGGA
rnacentral:misc_RNA from 1 species